rnacentral:rRNA from 1 species
GACGAACGCUGUCGGCGUGCUUAACACAUGCAAGUCGAACGGAAAGGCCCUGCUUUUGUGGGGUGCUCGAGUGGCGAACGGGUGAGUAACACGUGAGUAACCUGCCCUUGACUUUGGGAUAACUUCAGGAAACUGGGGCUAAUACCGGAUAGGAGCUCCUGCUGCAUGGUGGGGGUUGGAAAGUUUCGGCGGUUGGGGAUGGACUCGCGGCUUAUCAGCUUGUUGGUGGGGUAGUGGCUUACCAAGGCUUUGACGGGUAGCCGGCCUGAGAGGGUGACCGGCCACAUUGGGACUGAGAUACGGCCCAGACUCCUACGGGAGGCAGCAGUGGGGAAUAUUGCACAAUGGGCGGAAGCCUGAUGCAGCAACGCCGCGUGCGGGAUGACGGCCUUCGGGUUGUAAACCGCUUUCGCCUGUGACGAAGCGUGAGUGACGGUAAUGGGUAAAGAAGCACCGGCUAACUACGUGCCAGCAGCCGCGGUGAUACGUAGGGUGCGAGCGUUGUCCGGAUUUAUUGGGCGUAAAGGGCUCGUAGGUGGUUGAUCGCGUCGGAAGUGUAAUCUUGGGGCUUAACCCUGAGCGUGCUUUCGAUACGGGUUGACUUGAGGAAGGUAGGGGAGAAUGGAAUUCCUGGUGGAGCGGUGGAAUGCGCAGAUAUCAGGAGGAACACCAGUGGCGAAGGCGGUUCUCUGGGCCUUUCCUGACGCUGAGGAGCGAAAGCGUGGGGAGCGAACAGGCUUAGAUACCCCGGUAGUCCACGCUGUAAACGGUGGGUACUAGGUGUGGGGUCCAUUCCACGGGUUCCGUGCCGUAGCUAACGCUUUAAGUACCCCGCCUGGGGAGUACGGCCGCAAGGCUAAAACUCAAAGGAAUUGACGGGGCCCCGCACAAGCGGCGGAGCAUGCGGAUUAAUUCGAUGCAACGCGUAGAACCUUACCUGGGUUUGACAUGGAUCGGGAGUGCUCAGAGAUGGGUGUGCCUCUUUUGGGGUCGGUUCACAGGUGGUGCAUGGCUGUCGUCAGCUCGUGUCGUGAGAUGUUGGGUUAAGUCCCGCAACGAGCGCAACCCUUGUUCACUGUUGCCAGCACGUUAUGGUGGGGACUCAGUGGAGACCGCCGGGGUCAACUCGGAGGAAGGUGGGGAUGACGUCAAGUCAUCAUGCCCCUUAUGUCCAGGGCUUCACGCAUGCUACAAUGGCUGGUACAGAGAGUGGCGAGCCUGUGAGGGUGAGCGAAUCUCGGAAAGCCGGUCUCAGUUCGGAUUGGGGUCUGCAACUCGACCUCAUGAAGUCGGAGUCGCUAGUAAUCGCAGAUCAGCAACGCUGCGGUGAAUACGUUCCCGGGGCU